AGUCCACAGGCUCACCCCCACCCUUUCUCAGAGAGCUGCUUUCAUAUGGCUGGAUUCUUCUGUCACAGUCUGCAUUUCAUCCUAGGAUUGUCCUGAUUCCCUAAAUGAAUUUUAUUUUUUUUGAGAAAGGGUCUGGCAGCCUCAAACCCCUGGGCUUAGGUGAUCCUCCCACCUCAGCCCCCAAGUAGCUGGGACCACAGGCACGUGCCACCAGGCUCAGCUAAUUUUUACUUUUUUUUUUUUGUAGAGAUCAACCUCUCUCUGUUUCCUAGGCUGGUCUCGAACUCCUGGACUCAAGCAAUCCUCCUGCCUUAGCCUCCAAAAGUGCUGGGAUUACAGGCAUGAGCAACUGUAUCCAGCUAAACAACCUCUCUUCUUGCAACACUGUUUCCUUGUACCAUUACUGAUGCUGGAAAAAGAGAAAAGGACAUCAUUUUGCCCUCAGGGAGCUCACAGUCUAACAGAGGGAGAGGCAUGUGAACAACUACAACUUCUAUAGUAUAAGAAAACACUAAAUUGGAGACAUGAUCAAAGUAGUGCAGGGGAGGGAGUGGAGUGAGACUUCCUGGGGUCAUCCAGAAGGGCUUCACGGCAGGGAACACUACACUUCCUUAAAAAUUAAGAGUGUGUGCUACACUGCUUUACUAGAGCAAGACCAAAAGCAGCUUCAAUUAUGGUACAACUGUGUGAAGACACAAUGCAAAACCACUCAAGAAUGCUCACUCAAAUGGAUCUUUUACGAUGGAAUUCGGA
rnacentral:antisense_RNA from 1 species